CUUCACCAAUGCUAAGUGUACGGAUUUGUCAGUACCGAACUCGUCUACCUGCACUGAAGAACUAGAAAUACAUGACAGAAUUUGUAAUUACAAAAACAUUUAUGAAACAAUAGAAAGGUUAGGAACUUUGUCAUGUUC